AACCUGGUUGAUCCUGCCAGUAGUCAUAUGCUUGUCUCAAAGACUAAGCCAUGCAUGUCUAAGUAUAAAUGGUAUACAGUAAAACUGCGAAUGGCUCAUUAAAACAGUUAUAGUUUAUUUAGGUAAUCGAAUUUACAUGGAUAACCGUGGUAAUUCUAGAGCUAAUACAUGCUGUAAAGCCCGACUUCUCGGAAGGGUCGUGUUUAUUAGAUAACAGACCAACAGCUUCGGCUAUUGUGGUGAAUCAUAGUAACUAAUCGGAUCGCAUGGGCUAGUCCCGCGACAAACCAUUCAAGUUUCUGCCCCAUCAGCUUUCGACGGUAGUGUAUUGGACUACCGUGGCUUUUACGGGUAACGGAGGAUUAGGGUUCGAUUCCGGAGAGGGAGCCUGAGAAACGGCUACCACAUCUAAGGAAGGCAGCAGGCGCGU
rnacentral:rRNA from 1 species